UACGAAGGGGGCGAGCGUUGUUCGGAUUUACUGGGCGUAAAGGGCGCGUAGGCGGCCGAUCAAGUCAGGCGUGAAAGCCCCGGGCUCAACCUGGGAAUGGCGCUUGGGACUGGUUGGCUUGAGUUCGGGAGAGGAGAGUGGAAUUCCCAGUGUAGAGGUGAAAUUCGUAGAUAUUGGGAAGAACACCGGUGGCGAAGGCGGCUCUCUGGACCGAGACUGACGCUGAGGCGCGAAAGCGUGGGGAUCAAACAGG
rnacentral:rRNA from 1 species